rnacentral:rRNA from 1 species
UGGGGAAUAUUGGACAAUGGGCGCAAGCCUGAUCCAGCCAUGCCGCGUGAGUGAUGAAGGCCCUAGGGUUGUAAAGCUCUUUCACCGGUGAAGAUAAUGACGGUAACCGGAGAAGAAGCCCCGGCUAACUUCGUGCCAGCAGCCGCGGUAAUACGAAGGGGGCUAGCGUUGUUCGGAUUUACUGGGCGUAAAGCGCACGUAGGCGGACUUUUAAGUCAGGGGUGAAAUCCCGGGGCUCAACCCCGGAACUGCCUUUGAUACUGGAAGUCUUGAGUAUGGUAGAGGUGAGUGGAAUUCCGAGUGUAGAGGUGAAAUUCGUAGAUAUAUGGAGGAACACCGGUGGCGAAAGCGGCUCUCUGGUCUGUAACUGACGCUGAGGCUCGAAAGCGUGGGGAGCGAACAGG